GCCUGAUCCAGCAAUGCCGCGUGUGUGAAGAAGGCUUCGGGUUGUAAAGCACUUUUAUCAGGAACGAAAUACCACGGGUUAAUAACCUAUGGGGCUGACGGUACCUGAGGAAUAAGCACCGGCUAACUUCGUGCCAGCAGCCGCGGUAAUACGAAGGGUGCAAGCGUUAAUCGGAAUUACUGGGCGUAAAGGGUGCGUAGGCGGUUGUUUAAGUCUGUCGUGAAAUCCCCGGGCUCAACCUGGGAAUGGCGAUGGAUACUGGGCAGCUAGAGUGUGUCAGAGGAUGGUGGAAUUCCCGGUGUAGCGGUGAAAUGCGUAGAGAUCGGGAGGAACAUCAGUGGCGAAGGCGGCCAUCUGGGACAACACUGACGCUGAAGCACGAAAGCGUGGGGAGCAAACAGGAUUAGAUACCCUGGUAGUCCACGCCCUAAACGAUGCGAACUGGAUGUUGGUCUCAACUCGGAGAUCAGUGUCGAAGCUAACGCGUUAAGUUCGCCGCCUGGGGAGUACGGUCGCAAGACUGAAACUC
rnacentral:rRNA from 1 species